AAAGAUUUUUCGGUAUCGGAGGUGCCUGCGGCCUAUCAGUUAGUUGGUGAGGUAAUGGCUCACCAAGACAAUGACGGGUAGCUGGUGUGAGAGCACGACCAGCCAGAAUGGGACUGAGACACGGCCCAUACUCCUACGGGAGGCAGCAGUAAAGAAUCUUCCACAAUGGACGAAAGUCUGAUGGAGCGACACCGCGUGAGGGAUGAAGUCCUAACGGACGUAAACCUCUUUUGUGUGGGAGCAAAUUUUUGAGUCAACCACACGAAUAAGGACCGGCUAAUCACGUGCCAGCAGCCGCGGUAAUACGUGAGGUCCAAGCGUUAUCCGGAAUCACUGGGCGUAAAGCGUCCGCAGCCGGAAAUGUAAGUCUGGAGUGAAAUUUCAGAGCCCAACUCUGAAAGCGUUCCGGAAACUGUAUUUCUAGAGUUCGACAGAGGCAAGGGGAAUUCCGAUUGUAGGGGUAAAAUCCGUAGAUAAUCGGAGGAACACCAAAUGCGAAGGCACCUUGCUGGGUCGACACUGACGGUCAGGGACGAAAGCGUGGGGAGCGAAGGGGAUUAGAUACCCCCGUAGUCCACGCCCUAAACGAUGAUUACUCGGUUUACGAGAGAUUCGAUCCUCUUGUGAGCCCAAGCUAACGCGUUAAGUAAUCCGCCUGGGUAGUACGAUCGCAAGAUUAAAACUCAAAGGAAUAGACGGGGACCCGCACAAGCGGUGGAGCAUCGGGUUUAAUUCGAUAAUAAGCGAGGAACCUUACCAGGACUUGACAUCCCGAGAAUCCUGUAGAAAUACGGGAGUGCUGCAAAGAACUCGGUGACAGGUGCUGCAUGGUCGUCGUCAGCUCGUGCCUUGAGGUGUUCGGUUAAGUCCGUAAACGAGCGCAACCCACGUCGUGUGUUACUUUUUCACACGAGACUGCCGGCUCCAAGCCGGAGGAAGGUGUGGAUGACGUCAGAUCAGCAUGGCCCUUAUGUUCUGGGCGACACCGGUGCUACAAUGGUCGGUACAAAGGGUAGCCAACCCGCGAGGGGGAGCCAAUCCUGAUAAAGCCGGCCUCAGUUCGGAUUGGAGGCUGAAACUCGCCUCCAUGAAGUUGGAAUCGCUAGUAACCGUAUAUCAGCCAUGAUACGGUGAAUGUGUUCCCGGGUCUUGUACUCACCGCCCGUCAAGCCACGAAAGAGGGGGGCACCCGAAGGCUUCCGUUUUACGGAGGACCACGGUGAAACUCUUGAUUGGGGCUAAGUCGUAACAAGGUAACC
rnacentral:rRNA from 1 species